UAGUGACAAGAAAUAACAAUACAGGGCUUAUAGUCUUGUAAUUGGAAUGAUGGGAAUCUAAACCCUUCCCAGAGUAUCAAUUGGAGGGCAAGUCUGGUGCCAGCAGCCGCGGUAAUUCCAGCUCCAAUAGCGUAUAUUAAAGUUGUUGCAGUUAAGAAGCUCGUAGUUGAAUUUCUGCCUUAUCAUUAAUUUCGCUUCCGAACGUAAUUUUAUUGAUUUGGCAUCUUCUGGAUUAUAUAUUAUUUUUAAUAUAUUUUUCCAGUAUUUUACUUUGAGAAAACUAGAGUGUUUCAAACAGGCUUUUGCCUUGAAUACUACAGCAUGGAAUAAUGAAGUAGGACUAUUGGUUCUAUUUUGUUGGUUAUCGAACCAUAGUAAUGGUUAAU
rnacentral:rRNA from 1 species